rnacentral:rRNA from 1 species
GACGAACGCUGGCGGCGUGCCUAAUACAUGCAAGUCGAACGCAGUGGGGACGGGUGAGUAACACGUGGGUAACCUCCCAUUACAGGGGAUAACACUUGGUAACAGGUGCUAAACCGUUACUGAUGGAUGGUCCCGCGGUGCAUUAGCUAGUUGGUGCGGUAUCGGCUCAACAAGGCCCCGAUGCAUAGCCGACCUGAGAGGAUGACCAGCCACCUGGGAACUGAGACACGGUCCAGACUCCUACGGGAGGCAGCAGUGGGGAAUAUUGGAAAAUGGGCGCAAGCCUGAUGCAGACAUGCCGCGUGGAUGAAGAAGGCCUUCGGGUUGUAAAGUACUUUCAGCGGGGAGGCGUUACCCGCAGAAGAAGCACCGGCUAACUCCGUGCCAGCAGCCGCGGUAAUUC